rnacentral:piRNA from 2 species
GAAUAUGGAUAUCAGGUUGUGUCCUGC